UUUUUUUUUUUUAUGAGUGAAGGGACUAGUCACAGUGGUGUGUUCAGGGUUAAGGGAACCACAGCAAGAUCCAACGCCAUAUCCAGACCUGAAGGAGCUGGUGUUGCAGGGACACAAACAGCUGCAGUCUUGGAAGCAGUGGCGAUGUCCAGAGGACUUGUGGUUUUUGCGGAAGGAAACCAGAACCAAAGCAAUGUGGGCUGCCUGAGUGUCCUCAGAACAUGGCACCCAGACCCUCUGAAUGGUUGAUCUGAGAGGCCACGGUGGGAGCUGUAGUACGUUUUGUGGCUUACACUUGUAAGUCACACAGGACAGACAAGCUACAGAAGAUUGCUGACUCUCAGUUACUGAGACCAGGGAGACAAGAGCUCACAGUGCGAGAAGCAUGUCUUCAUGAGCACCAUGGAGUUACUCCAGUUGAUGGAUCCAAACACGGCGGCAGCCUCAGGGUCACACACCCAUCUAUCCGUGUAGGGAUAAGUUUCUCCUCGGUCCCCAAAGGCACACUGUAGAUGAACCACUUUGCAGGCACCAAGUGGGGAGAAACCAAUCCCUUAGGGUAUGAAGCAAUUUCCUUUGGGUGAGAGAGACAGUCUGGUAUCAAAAGGUACGACCUGAUGCCAUGGCCACAGAUUCAUUGCUGCACACCAGAGACAGAAGUCCUCGCCAGCAACCCUUCACCUCAACACCGUAUCCAGGAGCUUUGACGAUUGUCAUUACUAUUUUUAGCAGUGGUAAUAGUGGUGUGUGUAUGUGGGGGAUGGGGUACACAUGAGUGUGUACCUGCCCUAGUGCUUGUGUGGGUAUCAGAGGACAAUUCUGGGAGCUGGCUCUCUUCUGCUACCUUUAUGUGGGUUCCAGAGAUUGAGCUCAAGAUGGUUGGGCUUGCAUGGCAAGUGCUCUACCCACUGAGCCAUCUUGUUAGCCUAGAAGCUGUGAGUCUAAUCAAUACUAAACUUCAUCAUUUACUUAAUAUGAUAGUCUACUUAAUAUGAUAUGCCUACUGUGCUUUCUAGGUACUGGACCAUGUGGAGACGCUGGCUAGUCAGAAUAAACUCAUUGGGACUGGUAUCUCAAAUGUCUCCUCAAAGUCUGAUGUGUUGAAGGCUUGGUUCCAAGCUGAUGGGAAGUAGUUGGAUUAUGACAAUCCACCAAAAUGUGAACAAGGUGCAUGGCAGGCUCCUGCCUCCAGGCACUCAGCCACUUCAGCCGCCAUGUUUCCCCCAUGAAGAUGGACUGUGUCCCCAAUCAUAAGGCAAAAUAAAUCUCUCAUACCUUAAAUUGUUUCUGUCA